GGGUAAGAGAGAGCAGAGUUUGCACGAAUGCAGUAGAAUGGGUAGGAAAAAAACACGCCACACACCCGCCAGCUGCGAUAAAUCAUGUGCACCUUCUGUGAUUCUGGUAGUAGUUUUUCUUUUUUUUUUUUAUAAAGCGAUUUAAAAUAUACAAUAUAGAAAAACAAACGGAGUAUAGAACAUAGUAUACAAACAAUGGACCUGAGCCUUAGGACCAUGUCUCAGGACUACCUGGCAUGAAGACUCCUUGCUGUCCCCAGUCCACCUGACCGUGCUGCUGCUCCAGUUUCAACUGUUCUGCCUGCGGCUAUGAAAUCCUGACCUGUUCACCGGACGUGUUACUUGUCUCAGACAUGCUGCUUUCAACUCUAUAGAGACAGGAGUGGUAGAGAUCCUCUUAAUGAUCGGCUAUGAAAAGCCAACUGACAUUUACUCCUGAGGUGCUGAAUUGCUGCACCCUCGACAACUACUGUGAUUAUUAUUAUUUGACCCUGCUGGUCAUUUAUGAACAUUUGAACAUCUUGGCCAUGUUCUGUUAUAAUCUCCACCCGGCAGAGCCAGCAGAGGACUGGCCACCCCUCAUAGCCUGGUUCCUCUCUAGGUUUCUUCCUAGGUUUUGGCCUUUCUAGGGAGUUUUUCCUAGCCACCGUGCUUCUACACCUGCAUUUCUUGCUGUUUGUGGUUUGAGGCUGGGUUUCUGUACAGCACUUUGAGAUAUCAGCUAAUGUAAGAAGGGCUAUAUAAAUACAUUUGAUUUGACAAGCGCUAUUAGCUUAUAAUAGUUACUUAAAAGGCAAAUUGGACACUGAUUAUCAAUGAGUAACAAGUAUUUUUUAGGUUUAGGAGUUAGAGUGAUUAAACCUUGCGUUAGAGUGGGAGGGAGUGCUUCAUUGGCUGUACUUCAGAGUUCACUUCCAAUAGAAAGAAGGCCAAUUCUUUGGAAAAACUUCUGCAGAAUUCUGUUGAUGGUAGUAUUACCAUCAACCCCAGGGGAUUUGUUCAGUUGAAAGUGAUCAAUAGCCUCUAUAAUUUCCUCUAAGGAGAUGGGAUUAUCACAUAAUUCCUGAUCAGAAGAAUCAAUAGACACAACAUUUCCAAGAGAAUCAAAGAACAGAGCUGCAGACUCCUCACACUACCUAGAGGUGUAAAACAUUGGCACAGUAGUUGGCAAUUGUCCUAGAUCAUAUUAUUCACCUUUAACUGUUCAAAAGAGUUAGUUUUAGAGUGAACUUUCUCCAGUCUGAAAAAAUAAGCAGAGUUCUGCUUUCCUCCUUGAUGAAAGCACCCUCUUCUCCUGUUCCUUAAUUAACUCUGCUUUAUCUGUAUCUGAAAGACUAUUAGGUCUCUGGAAGAGCAAAUCUUCGCAAGAUCACUGCUAUUUUCUCUUAAAUAUUUAGCCAUUACAAACUUUAGAACUUCCCAGUUUGUUCUUUGGAGACUUUCACUCUGGACCUUAUUCCAAAAAGGUAUAAUGCAUCCUAUGAUAUCAAAUUAGACUAUUUCAUCUUUUAAUAUGGAGCUAUUAAGUUUCCAUUAUAAAGCCUUGCACUGACUAUCAUUAAAGGGAAAUAUUUGAGCUUGUAUGCAAAUAGCUCUAUGGUCUGUUAUAGGCAUGUCAAGAAUAUGAACAGAAACAUCCUUUCGUAAGCCCUCUGAAACCAUCCAACUGUCAAUACAUAAACAUCUAGUACAUGUUUUGUUACACCAGAUAUAGGAUCUCUCAACCGAAAACGUCUCAUUCCAUUUAUCCACUAGAUCCAACUUCUGCAUAAAUACUCUGAGCGCACAGAUUCAACAUCGACAAAUGUAGUUUUGAUUCACAGAAAAUUCACCAGUUGCAAGUUUAGUAAAUGAGUCGCAUUCAUUCUGAAAUGUAGCAUGCUUGCAAAUCUUAUUGAAUUUAUUCACAUAUUAACUUACAUGUUUGGAAGUGUUGUAUUUAUUCACACAUGUUAUGAGCUCGUGUUGUAUUUAUUCUCAAAAGAAGUUCCAUGUUUGCAAAUGUUUUUUGCAACUACAAACUCAGUAUACAGGUACAACUCAUAUUUUACAUGCUUGUAUAAUUAAUUCACUCUUUUACCUCCAUAGAGUUUGGCUAGGUGCCAGCAGAACUGAAGCAUGCUGAUGGGAAUCAACUGAGGUGAAAUAAUCAGCCCACAAUUUAUUAUGAGUGCAGGUUUUAGAUUCACAGUAAACUGACUCAAAUUAAUCAAGGAUGCUUUAUUAGUCUAAAGUAACUUACAAUCCAUCUGGCACAGCAUACUUUCUCUU
ensembl:lncRNA